GAGGGGGCGUGCGUGCGGCUGCGCGGCUGCGGCCGCUGCGGGGCUAUCCCGGACACCGGCCCUGCGGGCAUAACGGGCUGGGCGCGGGUCGGAGAAACAACCCGCUCGGGGUGUGGGGGAAUGAGAGCUUAACGAGAAGCUUUAGCUCAGCGGACGGCGCGAACUCCGGGUUCAGCUUCACCCCGCCGGUUCUGUCAGAACCGGAUGCUCUGCAUGGGGUGUAUUAGAAGGGGGUGGUCCGCAGGUCGAGAGAGGUUCUCCUGCCCCUCUACUCUGCCCUGGUGAGACCGCAUCUGGAAUAUUGUGUCCAGUUGUGGCCCCUCAGUUCCAGAAGGACAGGGAACUGCUGGAGAGGGUCCAGCGCAGGGCAACAAAGAUGCUGAAGGGAGUGGAGCAUCUCCCUUAUGAGGAAAGGCUGAGGGAGCUGGGGCUCUUUAGCUUGGAGAAGAGGAGACUGAGGGGUGACCUCAUUAAUGUUUAUAAAUAUGUAAAGGGUGAGUGUCAGGAGGAUGGAGCCAGGCUCUUCUCGGUGACAACCAACGAAGGAAGGGAGCAGCUGGAAGACUCAUUGUCCAACUGCACCAGAGAACUGGGAAGCAGCUCCUCAGUGUUUAUGCCUGGGAGACAAUAUCUGGGAACCAACCUGGAGAAGAAGGAUCUUGGGCACCAUGGGCCUCUCUUACAGCCCUUCAAUUUCACCCUCUGUGAUUAAGGACUUGACAAAGUAUAUAGCAUAACAUAAAUGAUCCUAGAUAAUCUUUAUAAAACCCUUGCUGAUAUUUAAAAGUACAGUCUCUGUCUGAUGACUGUGGUUUUCUUCUGGUUGUGUGUCUAACUGAGGUUGGCCUAUGAAACUAAGUAGAAAAGGGAUGAUUUUUAAAACUAAACCCACCUACUGAGGUUUUUGUGGACCUUCCAGAUGGUUCUCACCUUGGGCUGGAAUCCCAGAACUGAAAGGUGUAAAGGCUUUAAACCCAACUGCAGCAAAAUGGAAGUACAGUCACGAAGUAUCUGAUCACUUACAAUAGAAAUGUCAAAGUAAACAGAGGUGAUAGAAAAACAAAAUUCUUAAUUUCUUUUUUUUUUUUUUUUUUUUUUUUAAUGUGUGGGUUCUUUUCAAAAUACCUAAAUAUUAGGCAACAUACGGUGUUUCAUACCACCAGAGAUGGCUUUUCUUCCUUAAAGUUCUAGUCUAGUACCAUAUAGAAUACUGAUUUCCUCUAUGCCAACCAUUUUUCAGUUGAGUGCAAAUCACUUGGACAUCGUGGUCCCUCUCACACCUGCCAUGAUUUCAGUGCUCUCAGCAACUGUCACUGUGUUACCUCAGGCAGGAGGGCAUGAAAAGACUGGAAGAUUCUAGUCUUACGUAGGUAAAUGUAAAAAUCUCACUAGUCUGCUGGCCUGUCAUGGUGUUUGGAGCCAUCUCUAUUGAAAAUGGUGGAUUGUUAUAAUCAAAUGUUACCUGUUUUACCAAAAUCUGUUAUAUUCAAUCAUAUUGCUGCUAAAGAAAAUGCUUCCAUUUUAGGAUAUUAAGAUUCUAAGGGAUCUCUGGAGAAGACAAGUCUGUAAAAUAAGCAUAGUCCUAAAAAAUCCAUCAGCUACAAAGGAAAUUAGAAGGUAGGAGGAGUUACAUGUCCCGGACCCCACCGGGCUGUGGUGUAGACACUGGAAAUGUGCGAUUCAAAAUGAAUUCCCAGCCCAGGCCUGAGCAAUAAUGUCCCUAUUUUCAUUUCUCCUCUCCCACCCUCUCUUUUCUUUUCUCCUGUUCUUUACUCCAGGAUUUUCCAUGCCCCGAAUUCCCUAAAGCCGGCUCCUGACUCUUGAGUUUUUAGGGUUUUUUUAGGUUUUACCUUGCAGGUUAUUGAUAAUUUAGCCCUGGAGCCGGUGUGGGAUGUGCACGGCUGCACAUUCAAGUGCAUUAUUUCAAUUAGCUGAGUGUUCUGUGUUGCAAGGUGAAAUCAUUCACUCCCCGGGAAAGCUUUUUUAUUGAAUGCUUUCUAAAUCCUUGCAUUGGUCACGUCGCCUGGAAUUGAGUCCCUGUCACUAGUAUUUCUGCGGUGACUUUGACCAGAUCAAUGACUGGAAAAGGCAUUAAGGACACAUUGAUACGGCGGGUUUGGAGACAAGCGGGGCUUGGUUUUGGUGCUCGGUAGUGAAGAGAAGCCGAUAAUGAGCAGAUACACGGCUUUUCUUAACCCUUGGCGUUCUCGGGAGGCUUCAGCAGAUCUGGCUCUUCUCCCCCAGCCCGUCUCGGAGGGUUGAUGGAAAGCCGAACGCUGGGAAGGCAAAUAUCUCCCGGGUAUUCCAUACAUCUGAAGAGAAACGCGGUCAGGUUAACGAGAAAGUUAACGAGAAAGGAGGAUGGGAGCCCUGGCAGAGGCGAAAGUUGUUUUCCAAACUCAUUUAGGAUUUCGUUUCUGAGCUGAGCCGUGAUGUGGAAACAAACUCCAGAGCCUUUUUCGACUGUAGAUUCACCAUCUGACCUUUUCCUGGGUUCCCGACCCUCCAAAAUCGCCCGGAAUUCAGCGGGCACGUUUGUCGGGCUGGGAGAGGCGGGAGGUGCGAGUGCGGCCGGACAGCCGGGCUGUGAAACCCUCCGCUAUCGCAUCUUGCUUUCCAAAGCAGGAGCAGAACUAAAUGUGCUCGAAGCCACCACCACAACCUGCAGGGAAAUUGUGUGGGUUUGUUUGUUUGUGUGUUUUCCCCCUUUUCUUCCCCUGAAAUACUAGCACUUAAUAAAGUAAUUAGAAAGGCGUGAGGUUUGGGUUUGUUUUCCUGAAUUCCUGCCAUGCUCCGAGUCCUCCGGAAAACGUUUCAUUCUUUACUGCAGACGAGAGGCGGAGCGCAUUUCGCCUGUCCCGGCUUUUCUCAUUUUGCUGAAGCUCAAGGAAACGGGGAUUUUAUAAAUCCUGAAGUUCAAGGAGGCUUCCUCUCACAUUUCAUCGUCUCAAUGAAGUUGCGAGGUGCCUACUUACUCAGCUUGCUUACCAAACCCUGAAUUAAUAAAGUUUACUUAGUUAUUUAAAUAGAUUAAAUGUCACAUUUUAAAUGGAAGGGGUAGGUUUACCUUACUGACCUAUUUUUCAUUCCUGAUUUAGAAAAAGGCAAGAUUAGCAUGGAUAUUGCAUUUUCAAGGACCUCGCCACUAUUAAAUAGACUGUUAAGUGCAUUUUAUGGCUGAAAGUCUGUUCCCAGUUCAGUCUGGAAGACGUGCUAAGUUCAUCUCUACCUGCUACAUUGAACAUUCACUGACUACAAUACUUUCUGUGGGUGUAAUACCUAUGCUCUGUAUCUUUUAAGUACAUAACGCUUAAUGGUUUAGGACUAGUAAAACGUAAUUCAAUAAAAGUCCCUGGAAUACAA